rnacentral:lncRNA from 1 species
GCAUUUAAGUGAUGAAUGAUGUUUCUCAAUGAUGUUUUGGAAGAUUCCCUAAAAAUGUCUGGUUUAUAAGGACCCAGUUUGGAGUCAGCUUAAAACAUUUUACAACACUGUCAUCACAUUGCAGGGCACACAUUUUAGUUGUAAAAUAAGGUUAUCCAGCCCCUAUAUUUGCAUUAAAACUCUAAUAACUUUGGAGCAGAAAAUGGGCCUGAAUAGAUAAAUCAUUCCCAACUCGACUUUCCUUUUGUCUUUGGUCUCAACUUCCCUGUGUCUUUAUACUUCCUCUUCCUGCCUGUUUGUAGUCCCUCCUGUCUCUUCCUUCCAUUCUGUUUAUCCAUCCCUUCCUAUCCCUUGCCUCCUUCUCUAUCUUGCACAUGGAGAAAAACCAGACACAAAAGGUUUUGAAAAACUAUCAGCAUCCAUAAUAGAAUAUUGGAGCAAUCCCAGUCUCCAUGUGUGUGGCCAAAGUAUUGGGUCACAAGGUGACAGAAGAGGGUGAGUCAUGGAAACGAGGCAUAUACAAUCAGCCAAAUGUGGAAGAAUUUGCACCAUUCGGAGGGGAGCUAAUGCUAAUUUCUCUGACUUACACAUUCCUGAGAGUUUCCUUGGAGACUGCUUUGUGUUUGAGAGUGAGCUGGUUUCACCUACAAAAGCGGUUUAGCCCGCAGUUACUUGCCCACAUCCAAAUGUGGAAGAAUUUGCACCAUUCGGAGGGGAGCUAAUGCUAAUUUCUCUGACUUACACAUUCCUGAGAGUUUCCUUGGAGACUGCUUUGUGUUUGAGAGUGAGCUGGUUUCACCUACAAAACCAGUGCCAGUGGCCACAACUCCAGUGUUAGCAAGAACUUUGGUGGCAGCAUUGAAACGUCUACUGAAGGUGGCUUCAAGUCAGCUUUUGACCUCACCUCCUUCUGCCAAAAUCUAAGUUGAAACAUCUUGCAGAAAAACCUUGAAACACACUUUAAAAUACAAGAAACAAAUGUGCUUGUUUCUCCACCAAGCUGUCCACCGCAGAACUAUACAGCAAAAAGAAAAAAAAGAUAUAGCCUGCAAGAGCAUUGAGAAAUGAGUAAACCAUUUAAGCCAUAUAUAUAUAUACAGUAUGUAGUGGCUGAUGAUGCACUAACCUGGAUCUGAGUCAGGUGGUCCCUCUGAGCCCUCUACCCACCUGGCAAAGAUCAUUUAAGGAAGAAUUCUGUGCACCCAGUGAAAGUGAAGCUUGAGAGAGCAGCUAAUCUGACUGUUGCACGAAAAAAUACCAGUGAAAGACUUCCAAAGUGCACGUGUAAGGUUGAUGCUCCAAGGAGAGGCAGGCAAAGAGGUACAACUGUAUUUUGAGAGUUUAUCACUUUGACACGGGUAGCAUUUCAAGCUAACAGCAGGUACACAACAAUAUUGCCAUCUCCCGUUCUCAUCACUAUCCCGUUCUCAUCACUAUCCAAACCCCAGUAGGGUGUGUACUUUCAUAGUCAUAUAAAACACUAUCCAGAAAUAUAAUGGGAUUUCUCUCCAUCCCCCAUCUCUUCCUCUUUCUCUGUGUGUAUGGCUGAUUGGCAGAAUUAUCAGCACAAUUGCCUGUGUGUUUCCCCCUGCUAAAUUGUAAUAGCUCUCCUUGCAUACGCAUAGGCAGAGUGGAGGGAUAAGAAGUUAUAUCAUCCACAGUGGUGCCUCGCAAGACAAAUGUCUCUCAGGACAAAAAACUCACAAGACAAAUGGCUUUGGCAAUGUGUGUGUGUGUGUGUUUGAUGACUCACAAGACAAAUGUUCCUAUGGCUGUGCUUUGCAAGAAGAAUGUCAUCCGUUUUUUGUUCCUGCCUCAUGUUUGCUGAUUUUUAAAUGUUUUUCUAUGAUGUUAAAAAAGUUAAAAGUUUUUUGAUUGAAAUUUUUGAAAUCAUCUGCACAAUAUGUAUGGCUUUAAGGAGCACUUAAUAAACCAUUUGUAAACCAAAUUUGACUUUGU